rnacentral:misc_RNA from 1 species
AAGAAAAAAUGGCGACAUCCAUGAGAAACGGCGUGAGUGCGGUCAAACGAGUAGGCCUAGUUCCUCUGCUUAUUCGAGGCCAAACCAGACCUUUUCGGACUUCUUCCGUUCUUGUUAAAGAUCAUCUGUGUCAUCCAUGUAUAAAUGUCCUCUCAGGUCAAGGAUUGGCAUUCAGGCAUCUUGGCGUUCCUUCUCAAACCUUCUCAUCCAACCCCCAACGAUGGCUGAGCACCUCCCAUAGGUUGUGCAGCGAGACGUCCGACCAACCUGCCGAAGAGGCCGAGCAGCUGCACAGCAUUAUUCAAGAUUCAGAAACGGUCACUGGGACGCCAGAGAAUCAUGAGUUUCAAGCCGAGACGAGGAUGUUGCUAGAUAUUGUGGCCAAGUCGCUGUAUUCGGAGAAUGAGGUUUUCAUCCGGGAGCUUAUAUCCAAUGCCAGCGACGCCCUGGAGAAGCUGCGCUACCUAUCAUUAACCUCUGGGUCAGGGGUCAGCGGGGACCUGCCCUUGGAGAUCCACAUAGCAACCAAUCAGGAAGCUGGAACUUUCACAAUUCAGGACACUGGCGUUGGGAUGACUUUACAAGAAAUGAUCGACAAUCUGGGCACUAUAGCGAGAUCGGGCUCCAAGGCGUUUCUGGAGGAGUUGCAGAAGGACGGUCAGACAGGGUCGACUGGUGGCAGCAUCGUGGGUCAGUUCGGGGUGGGUUUCUACUCGGCGUUCAUGGUGGGGGACCACGUGGAUGUCUACUCUAAGUCCCACCAGCCAGACUCCAAGGCUUACCGCUGGUCAUCUGACGGGACUGGCAACUAUGACAUCGUUGAAGCGGACGGGGUCCAACUGGGCACCAAGAUCGUCAUCCAUCUCAAGAAGGACUGCUGGAGAUUUGCUAUGGAGGCAGAUGUCAAAGAAAUCAUCAGUAAACAUAGCACGUUUGUGGGCAUGCCGAUCUUUCUGAAUGGCAAGCUGAUGAACACCACACAGGCCUUGUGGACAAAGGAGCCGCGCGAAGUGUCCGACCAGCAGCAUGAAGAGUUCUACCAGUUCCUGACCCACAAUUCCUACGACAAGCCACGCUACACGCUGCACUACAAGACUGAUGCACCGCUCAACAUUCGCAGCCUGUUCUACGUCCCCAGCAGGCCCCCUGCCAUGUGGGAGCUCAGUCAGGACCACUCGGGGGGUGUGGCUCUGUACAGUAGGCGGGUGCUUAUCCAGCAGAAGGCAGACAAGAUACUGCCCAAGUGGUUCCGAUUUAUUCAAGGUGUUGUAGACAGCGAGGACAUCCCACUAAACCUGAGCCGAGAGCUACUGCAAGAUAGCGCCCUCAUCAGGAAGUUGAGGAUGGUGAUCACAAGUCGUCUUGUGCGCUUCCUGCUGGACCAACGCAAGAAGGAUCCCAAGACAUACGAGCAAUUCUUCACGGAAUACGGGACGUUUCUACGGGAGGGUAUCAUCUCAUCUAGUGAACAGGCUGAAAAGGAGGAGAUAGGCAAACUCCUCUGCUUCGAGACUUCGGCCCAGUCAGCUGGAAGCCUAACCAGCCUGCAAGACUACGCAUCUCGCAUGAAGGCCGGCCAGCGCAAUAUAUACUACAUAUGUGCUCCGAGCCGGGAGUUGGCCGAGUCAUCGCCGUACUUUGAGGCCUUCCAGCGUCAAGGCCAUGAGGUGUUGUUCUGCUACGCCGAGUACGAUGAGCUGACCAUGCUGCAGCUGCGGGAAUUUGACCGCAAGCUGCUGACCUCGGUGGAGAGCGAGAUGGCCGUGCAGAACGCUGGCGCGGAGACCAGCGACACGGAGACAGUCGAAGGCAGCCUGACGGAGGAGGAAUCGGACUCUCUCAUCACCUACAUGAAAGAUGUCUUAGGCACCAAGGUGGCUAAUGUCAAGGUGACCCAACGUCUGGCCCAGCACCCUGCCAUGGUGACGGUGGCCGAGAUGGGGGCGGCGCGUCAUUUCCUGCGCACCGCGCUGAAGAAUCGCAGCGAGGAGGAGAAGCUGCAACUGCUCCAACCCACGCUGGAGCUCAACGGCAGCCACCCCAUUGUGCAGAAGCUGUUUGCCCUGAAGACCAGCGAGCCAGCCUUGGCCAGACUACUCAGUGAACAGAUCACGAAAAACUAACUGCGUGAAGAAAUCCCUACAUCACCGGAUGGAUUUCUUUUGACGGUGGAAUGGUUUCUUCAGGCUUGUGAGCUACAGUGCCUAGGGCACCUUUGAGGAAUCAGCAUUUUUACCAGAAAUGAUUAAUAAUAAUAGUGCAUGUCAAAGUUAAUUUGCUUCAGUACCGCCAGUGCCCCCCCUAAAAACAUGUGUGUUCACACCCCCCGGAGCCCCUCGGACAUUGCAGCCCAGUUAUGCUGUUGGCUUUGGUACUCCAUUUGUGAAACUAAAUAAUACUUUCAAAACUUGAAACAAUGUAUUUCCUAAAUUCUCUCUUUAACACUUCUCAGCGAGUUGGACAGCUACAUUUGUGACCCAAGCUAAAGAUGAGCAGCACUUCUGCAAAAUUAAACCAGGAACCUGGCCUGUCCAUAAAAAAUGGAUCUCUGACUUUUUCCUUGAAAAAAACCUUCAGGGGUAUGAAUCUACCACAAAAAAAGAAAUGAACAAGAAAAAAAAACACCUUUGGAAAAUACAUAUAGGCUCAGACCAAGAAAAAUUAAGCCCCCAAAAUUACCAAAACACUUGCUGUGAGCAGGAAGCGUAUCACUAAGCUAGAUUCCAGCAUCUCAAGGGUCUAGUGGAAUGCAAAAUCUUAGUGCUGGUUCACACUUGAGGCACAUGCUACAUUGACAAGCAUUUUCCGCACCACGAGGAAAAGUUUGCAGCAAACUUUGCAUGUACUGAAUCGCCCUAAACUUUGGUGAAUUCGCAGAGUGAAUAGCUGUAGUAAAUCUGUGGUGACAUUUACACCAAGCAGUAUGAACCAGCUUAAGUAACCAUCACAACAGGCUGAAAAUUCCUGUACGUAUUUUCUCCAUCUACAUGUAGAUGCCUGACACAACAGCAGAAGUUUAAAACCACUGAAAUCUUUGAACCCCUUUGAGGGUAAAAUGUCCAUAACACAUGAAACACUUCGUAACCUCACUUCAACAGCGGCUGAACGAUUUUCAAAAGUAGGGGGCCGGGGGAGGUUCAGUUGUGAGACCAUGCUAUUACAGGUCGAUCCAUUAAGCCCCAUCCCCAUUAUCAUAGGAUCUGCAAAAAAGUGUCGGGUGCCAUGCUCCCUCAGUUGAAAAAGUGAGGUCCCUCUGCAGCCUCCCCUGACCCCCAUUUGACUGCCAGUGACUCAACCCAUGGUGUCUCCCUUCCUCCGUGCUCACGCCCCUGCAGCCCUUGAGAUUCAUUUCCAGGGAUCGUGGAGGAAGAGAAACCUGACUUUGAAGUUGAGGGAAAGAUUAUGUAUAUUGUUUUAACACAUCCAAUAGAUAAAAAUGGUAAAUCAUGUUGACAUGGACAUGAUAGGAGUAGGCCUAUGGAGGAAUAGAACAUGGGUUAAUCGACCAUCACCUAAUUAGGCCUACUGCAGUCUGCAAUGUAACGUUAGGGCCUAUAUACAUUGCAUAAUAAGACUGAACCGACUAACAUUAUCGUGUAUUUGAAUGGGUAGGUCCAACCUCUAUCUCUGCACUGUGCAUAUAAUGCUAUAGGCCUAGACUCAGUAUCAUUAUAGGCCUACAUGCUUGAUAGUUGAUACACAUUGUAAACAAAUGUUACGCCCCAACUAUAGCAUCAGUC